AUGUGGUUUAUGAAAGAAAGCAGUGAUGUGAAUUUCUCUGGUCCCGCAGUGAAGCCCUCCGUGUCUCUGCUGCCGCCCUCUUCUCUGCAGAUCUCUGGAGACUCAGCCGCACUGCUCUGCCUGCUCAGCUCUUACUCUCCACAGGGGGCGACGGUGAGCUGGACGCUGGACGGGUCAGAGGUCAGCGAGGGGGUUCAGACCAGCGCAGAGAGCGAGCGGGACGGACGCUACAGCCGCAGCAGCGUCCUGAGCCUCAGCAAAGCACGCUGGGAAGGCGCGGAUCGCUUCGUCUGCAGAGUAAGACAUGACGGAGCUGAUCACGAGGCCUCGUUCCUCAAGAGCUCCCAGUGCUGA